UACUUUUGGAAAGGUUUUAUAAAAAAGAACCGUUGGAAUUCGGAAGUCGAAAGGGUUGGGUCGGUGUAUUGGCGCUUAAUAUAUACCUUCUUCCCUCAUCCGACUGUUCUCCAAACACCACCGGAGACAUGUUUCUUUGAAGAAGAAGAAGAAGAAAGAGGGUUUUAUUUGGAGGCACCACCUUCUCCUCUUUUUGUUCUAGCGACACCACCGCUUCCUCUUUCUUUCAUUUUCCCGCGUUCAAGAAGCCUCUGCGUUUCCCUCUUCGUCUCUUAGGUAUCUUUUCUUCAUAACUGGAUUCAUCGGUCAGUUUGGUUCAAGGUCAUCAUUGAUCAAGAAAAAAGUACAAAUCUUUUUUCUCUGUCUAACCAGAUCGUAUUGGCGUACUAUGGUGGCUCAGCUGGAUUUUAUCAAAGAGAUAACUUGAACUUGUUGGAUGACAUGGCAUAACUGAGACCUUCUAUAUUCUGUAGUAUUCCAGGAUUAUGCAACAGACGAAUUAGGACAUCAGGGAACGGAAAUGCUACAUGGUGUGGUCUUUUGUGGGUUGAAAUAUCAAAAACAAGUGGUCGCUUUUUACCUUUGUAUAGCUGAUGAGGAAUCUCUUCAUUCAGCUGUGAUAUGCUUGGACAAGCAUCUUAUUGUAACAUUUUCUUUCAACCAAACCAAUCAUCUUAAAAAAGUUUGGAUUUCAUCUCGUUUUUUCUGGUCCGGAUGAUGUGUAUCACUCUUCUGUAGAAGCCAGAUUUUGUGUGCCACACAGACAUUGCAUAUCAGACCACAGACAACCACGAGGGAACUACAAAGUUAGUGGGACAGCAUGGGCAUUUUGGGAAUUAAAGCAGAUCCUCUGUCAUUUUAGGUUAUAUUAUGAGAGGGCGUUUGUUAUGAACUCACUUAAUUUAUAACUUCUGUUGUUUUGAUAGUGGGGUAUGAUGGUUAAUCAUUUGUUUCAUAUCUUAUGAAUUGCACUAAUAAGAUUCUUUACUGAAAUGAUGCUACAACCUUCAUACUCUCAUAUUGAAUGAUAAUACAAUAUAUAUAUAUAUAUAUAUAUAUUGAUCCCAUCUCUUCCAUCAACAACUGGGUGGGGUUAAAGGUUAAGUGUAUGAUUUUCUGAACUUAUUGCUCAGGUAACUUCAAAACCUUUUGUUGUGUCACAUUCACAUUAAUUAAGUUCCAUCCAUCAGAUGUGUAAGUAAAUGCCAAUUGUGUCACCAUUAAUUUGUUCCCCAUGCUUUAUUUCAGUUACAUAAAUCUUAUCUUCCUUUGGCACACCAACAAUCUAUGAAAAGUCCAACCACAUCAUAUUGGCAAACUAUGGUGGCUCAGUUGGAGAUUAUGUAACACAGAGUAAAUUUACGGAAAACGCCUUCAACACUUUUUUAGUUUGCCUGGGAAGGGAAUGCCACAUGGUGACAAGUGUUCAAUAUAAAGAGGGCGAUGUAACCUCUUCAUUCAGCUGUGAUAUUCUUGAACAAGCAUCUUAUUAUUACCUUUUAUUUCUGCCAAACCAAUUAUUCUAAGAAAGUGGUAUGAUGGAAAUUGUGGCUUCUAGUCAUCAAUCAAAGCCAAUGCAAUAAUUUUGUUGCAUAUAUGUAGGAUGGAAUUAAGCUCAAAGAUUUAUUUAACCAAUAGGUCAAGUUUUUUGGAUUAUGAAGACCGAGUCAUGGAUCCAGAUGCAUUAAAAAAGAGAAUAUUCGAUGAGGGAGUGGAACACUUGCGAAAAAGAGGCCUUUAUAUUUUGGGCAUUUUUCAUGGGAUCUUAUUCAUAUGAUUCAACAUGACUAUCAAAAACCAAUGACAGGUGACAAAGGGAGCUUUUCACCUAUAGAAACUAUACCCAUCUCUUCUCAACCUGAUUUUGUAUCAACAUGGUGUGUAGUUUUAUUAUUUUUCGUAUCAAGUCACUAUACUUGAAAAAACUAAACAUGUUUGUUUUUGGUUGCCCAUUAUAGCUUUAUAAAUUUCAUAUUAACCUGUGAAGACCUUUUACUUUUUACUUUUUUCUUAUUAGCACAUUUUACUUUGAAAAUCUAACCUAUCAAGACAUUUUACCUUUAAAAUAUCAAACUUGUUUGAACUUGGUUGCCAAUUAUAGCAUUGUAGUUCAAUUUUUUUGACAACUAUUUUUCCUUUAAGUUAUUGUAUUUUUUAAAUCCAACAUUGUAGUGGACUUUCAACUGUUUUUCUAUUAAGACAUUGCAUUUUCAAAAUCUGACCUAGUAAGACUUGUAUUUUGAAAAUCUGAACUUGUAUAGCAUUUUAUAUUCAAAAUAUAUGAAUGUUGUGCUUUUGAAUUUUUUUUUUGGUUAACAAUGCACUAUGAAAAUUUAACAUACUUAGACAUUGCAAGUUUGGUUCUUAUUUUAUGGUUUCACAACGUUUUGGUACCUAGGUUGUCACCUAGAUGUUAAAUUUAUGAAAAUGACCAUUCUGUCCCUGUCAUCUUCAUCUCUUUCAUUUCCAAUUUCAAGGAGCAUGCUGAAUUUUCAACAAAGUCUCACUCUUUCCUUAAAAACUAUCGUCAUUCAUAUAUGUUGAAGGAGAAAAACUAAACCCUAAAUCCAUAAAAAUAGAAUCUUUUAGAAAACAUGGUAUUCAUUUCAUGUUGUGAUAAAUAUGCUUGGUCUUUGGGUCUCAACCUUAACAGACCGUAUGUUAAAUUUAUGAAAAUGACCAUUUUGCCAAUGUCUUCUUCAUCUCUUUCAUUUUCAUGUUAAAUUUAUGAAAAUGACCAUUUUGAUAGGUAAAUGUCUAUUUUGCCCUCCAACUUUUAUCACCCUGACCCACAUAUGCAGAGUAUUUAGUUUUUGGGUUUUGAUGGACUUUGGUUUGGUAAAGAUGAAGGAGAUUGAGUAGAUGAAGAAAUACAACAUAUCGAGCAUCCUAUCAACUCAUCAAAAUUGACAGGGACAGAAUUAAGCACAAAAUCCAGCUAAAGAAUUAUUUAACAAAUCUCAAGACAUUGGAGAGAAGCCCUGUUAUGCUAUCUGGUUUCAUUAACAGAAGAGGCUAAUAAUAAUGCACAGGAGGCUGUAGCAGUUUCCCGUGGAAACCUGAUUGCAAAUGUUGCUGGUGGAAGUCUUGAAAUAAAGAGGUUAUGGUGGAGAAAAGGAUAACUAGAAAUUGUUGGAUGACAUGGAAUAAUUGAGACCUACUAUAUAUUCUGUAGUGUUUCAGGAUUAUCUAACAGACGAAUUAGGACAUCAGGGAAGGGAAAUGCCACAUGGUGUGGUCUUUUGUGGGGUUAAAUAUUUAAAACAAGUGGUCAUGAUAAAGAGGAUGUCGCUUUUUACCUUUGUAUAAUUGAUGAGGAGCCUCUUCAUUCAGCUGUGAUAUGCUUGAACAAGCAUCUUAUUGUUACAUUUUCUUUCAACCAAACCAAUCAUCUUAAAAAGUUAAUGCCAAUCAGGUCCGGAUGAUGUGUACAAGCCAGAUUUUGUGUGCCACACAGACAUUGCAUAUAAGACAAAAGGCACAAAAAGAUUCCAAUGGGAGAGGGGACCACAGACAACCAUGAUUUUGUAACAAUAUAUGAAUGAUUUAUCUUUUUUUUUUUCAAUGGGGAGGCAACCAACAGGUUGUGCUCAGUCUUUUCAGAAUCGGAUUGGACUGGAGAAAAGAAAGCAAUUCGUAAUAUUUAAGUUUUGGUCCCUGAGUGUAGCUGAUUUUUUCAAUUUUGGUCAUUUUUUGAGGUUUGUAAUGUUUUUAGUCUUUGUUCCUAGUAAAACGACAAUAAUUUUGGGACCAAAUUUGCAAAAAUGAGCUAUACUUGGUGACAAAAAAAUAGCCACUUUACUUGGAAGAGGGACCAUGAUUUUUACAAGAACCUCAAAUUCAUCAAUUAGCUACAAUCAGGGACCAAAUGUGUAUUUUACUCUUCUUUUUAAGUUUGUGUGCAUUAUAUUCUCCUGACAAGUUGUGCCUUUUUAUAUCAGAUAAAACAUGCAAUCCACGCAUAUAGAAAUGGUCUUUCUAUUUUUAAAGGAAUAACAUGGAGUCAUAUUUGGGAUCAUGUCCAUUCUCAUAUAGGACAGAACAGGUGGUAUGCUUUUCUUGGAAGGUUUGAUGUGGUAAUAAGACAUAUGUUGAAAAUUGUGGCUUCUAGUCAUCAAUCAAAGCCAAUGCAAUAAUUUUGUUGCAUUUGUAGGAUGGAAUUAAGCACAAAAUCCAUCUAAAGAAUUAUUUAACCAAUGUAAGUGCUCUCUUUUCAUUGCUUAACAGUCUCUUUGAAAAAUAAGAAGGUUAUGGUAUAAUUCUCUUAAGUAUGACAAUCAGAUUGCUGAAGAAAGUUGAUUGUGUUUUGAUGCCAAUCAUAUAUUUGUUGGGUUAAUGUGAGAAAAUAGCAACAUACGUUUGUUGAUUUAUUUAUUAUAGCAUCCUACUUUUGUUUCUUCUUGUUAGGAAUUUUGUAAUUUCAAAAAUGUACUCUAUCUUGUUAUUCAUAAUAACAGACUUAUGCAUCUAUCUCCAAUAACAUGUUUCAUGAUUUCCCGUGGAAACUUGAUUGCAAAUGUUGCUGGUGGAAGUUUUGAAAUUAAGUACUAUCCAUCAGAUGUGUAAGUAAAUGCCAAUUGUUUCACCAUGUGCCUUCAGUUAUUAAGAUUGUACUUUGAAUUAUAACAUGAUGCUUUUAUACCUUAUCUUCUUUUGCCACACAUACAUGUUUUUAUUUUUGGCGUCCUAAGUCAUGUUUAUGGU